rnacentral:misc_RNA from 1 species
GAAAUGCGAUACGUAGUGUGAAUUGCAGAAUUCCGUGAACCAUCGAAUCUUUGAACGCAAAUUGCGCUCGAGGCCUCGGCCAAGAGCAUGUCUGCCUCAGCGUCGGCUACUACCCUCAACUAAGUUUCCUAGUUACAUAGGGGAUGCCGGUUGGAUCUGGCCGUCCGGUUUGCCUUUCAGGUGCCGGUCAGCUGAAAUAUAUUCACGCUCUGGGGGCUGCUUUCCUUUCGAGGAGAGGCGAGUUCCGAUUUGGUAGGUGACCUUUGCCGGUUACAUGCCUUCGUUGCCCGCUAAGCUUCCCAGUAUGCGUUGUGCAGGACGCCUUUUGGCUUUCGACCUGAGGUCAGGCGGGGCUACCCGCUGAGUUUAA